UACGUAGGGGGCAAGCGUUGUUCGGAAUUACUGGGCGUAAAGCGCGCGUAGGCGGUUUGGAAAGUCAGAUGUGAAAAGCCCCGGGCUCAACUUGGGAACUGCAUUUGAUACUGCCAGACUAGAGUACAGAAGAGGUGACUGGAAUUCCCAAGUGUAGCGGUGAAAUGCGUAGAUAUUGGGAGGAACACCAGAUGCGAAGGCGGGUCACUGGGCUGAUACUGACGCUGAUGCGCGAAAGCCAGGGGAGCGAACGGG
rnacentral:rRNA from 1 species